rnacentral:rRNA from 1 species
AACGAACGCUGGCGGCAGGCCUAACACAUGCAAGUCGAACGGACGUAGCAAUACGUUAGUGGCGCACGGGAGAGUAACGCGUGGGAACCUACCUUUUGGUUCGGGAUAACAUCGGGAAACUGGUGCUAAUACCGGAUAAGCCCUUCGGGGGAAAGAUUUAUUGCCGAAAGAUGGGCCCGCGCUGGAUUAGCUAGUUGGUGAGGUAAUGGCUCACCAAGGCAACGAUCCAUAGCUGGUCUGAGAGGAUGAUCAGCCUCACUGGGACUGAGACACGGCCCAGACUCCUACGGGAGGCAGCAGUGGGGAAUAUUGGACAAUGGGGGAAACCCUGAUCCAGCCAUGCCGCGUGAAUGAUGAAGGCCUUCGGGUUGUAAAGUUCUUUUGGUGGGGACGAUGAUGACGGUACCCACAGAAUAAGCUCCGGCUAACUUCGUGCCAGCAGCCGCAGUAAUAC